rnacentral:sRNA from 1 species
GUGAUUAAUCUUUUCUUUCUCGGUCAUAUCAGGAUUUUAGCUCAAGUGGUGUAGGUUAGACCUUCAUAUGGUGUAUUUUGUCUUCAAUUUUACGUGGAAUGUUCACCAGUAAUGGUGAAUAUCAUAUUGUGUUCACUGCAUCUAUUUAUUUACCUACGCAUAAUACAUUUGUUUAUUUUUCUUCUGUUUCUAUUUUGUGAAAAUUUUCAGUAUCUGACAAUGCAAAACAGUUCAGUCUUAGACCGCAACUUCGUGUUUAAAUAUUGUUCUAGGCUGUCUAUGGGAUCUUCACCUGUACUUUUCCUUAAAGCAGAUUUGUAAAGGAAAAAUUGCAUUGCUAAUUUAAAUCGUUUUACUCUUAGAUAUUUUACAUGAAUAAAAGGAUAAAUUGAUAUAAUCAGAACUAAUAGAUCAAAUUAAAACCAUUGCUAGAAAUGUUAUGAGAUAGGGUAUCCAUGACACUUUUUUUGCACAAUAACAGAACUAAUGGAAGUUUUGUUUUAAAGUAAUGAUGUUUGUAUUAAUAAUUAUGAAACCAGCUGUACAUUUUAACCAACCUAUAAUGCCACACCCUCAUCCAAUAUCUAGAACUCAUUCUUGUUAUUAUUCAUACACAUGACACAUAUAGAUUCACGCUAAGCAAUAUACGACUGUUUGACUGUUUGAUGCGACACUUUCAAGUUUGAACACUCUGUGCUGGGGGUUUUCUUCCUUUUGAUUUUUUUUACACAUACUUUAUAUCCCAACCUUGUGUUUCUUGUACUUUUACACCAUCUAAAUAUUAAACCUUUUCUUGUGCUAAAAUAACACGUGUGUUCCUGUAAGUAUGUCAUUGUGUGGAUCUGAUUGACUGAUUAUAAAAAUUGUUGUUUGAAAGGAUAGAUAACACAACCUUUUUUCAGGAUUUUCUCUGUUCAGCUGACUAUCUCAACUGAUUUAGAGUUAUCUUUCUUUGGCAAUUUUUGUAACUUGGCUUUUUUUAUCCGUCCAGCUUCUAGAUGUCUUUGAUAAAGAAAAAAAGUCAGACACAAAUUAUUUGAAACAGUUCAAUACACUUUCCCUCCAAAAAUUCACUUUACCUCUUUAAACUAUACUCAGAUUUAUUGAUAUGGAGAAGGAUAGACGUAGAAGAGACUUCUUUCUUUAAAUUGUACUCGAUAAGAUUAUGUGAAGUUCAGGCCCCAAGAGCAGGAACUUAAACUUAUUUAAAAAGAUAUAUUGUAGAUUAAAUUAAAUUUUCAUUUGCACGUAAUUCUACUGUUUCUUAAUUACAUGUAUCUACACGAAAGAGAAACACACAACAGGAUCUUUUCUCAGUUCAUUGUCUUGGGGCCUGGUAAACGGAUUUUAGGUUUAGCAAAGAAAAUCUUCCAUAGCAGCAGUAUACACUCCAUUUAUCUUUAGGAUAUGUUUGAUUUAUUUCUUCUACAAGAAGAAAACUGGAAACGUCAAACCCAAUAUUCUAAUAAAAACCAGGAUGCUUGUUUGGUGUGUAGGACGAUGCUCUAUGCAAUGUGUAAGGGUUUGUUGUUACUUAGUGCUUCACAGUCAGUGGUCCUGUACUGGGCCUUUAUGUCCAUGUUGUGAUGUUCUUACCCACAUCUAGAAUUAAUAUAAAGUUUAAAAACUUGUUUAUUAUUAAUAUAUUUCCGAGAUACAAGAAGCGUUCUUGAAUGUAAACCACUCUUUAUAAUGGAAUAUCUUUUAUGUACCUAAACCGUAUACAAAUAAACAGUAAAACCAUUU